GUGGGGAAUCUUGCGCAAUGGGCGAAAGCCUGACGCAGCCAUGCCGCGUGAAUGAUGAAGGUCUUAGGAUUGUAAAAUUCUUUCACCGGGGACGAUAAUGACGGUACCCGGAGAAGAAGCCCCGGCUAACUUCGUGCCAGCAGCCGCGGUAAUACGACGGGGGCUAGCGUUGCUCGGAAUUACUGGGCGUAAAGGGCGCGUAGGCGGACAUUUAAGUCAGGGGUGAAAUCCCAGAGCUCAACUCUGGAACUGCCUUUGAUACUGGGUGUCUUGAGUGUGAGAGAGGUAUGUGGAACUCCGAGUGUAGAGGUGAAAUUCGUAGAUAUUCGGAAGAACACCAGUGGCGAAGGCGACAUACUGGCUCAUUACUGACGCUGAGGCGCGAAAGCGUGGGGAGCAAACAGGAUUAGAAACCCGGGUAGUCC
rnacentral:rRNA from 1 species